GCUGGGGCAUGGUGGUGUGCCUAUAGUCCCAGCUACUCAGGAGGCUGAGACAGGAAGAUCACUUUGGUCCAGGAGCUCUGGGCUAUAGUGCCCUUUGCCAAUCAGUUGUCCACACUAAGUUUUGCAUCAAUAUGGUGACCUACUAGGAGCAGGGCACCACCAGGUUUCCCUAGUAUCAGUGAACGAUCCCCCAUUGGAAAUGGAGCAGGUCAAAAUUCCUGUGUUGAUCAGUAGUGGGAUUGCACCUGUGACUAGCCACUGCACUCCAGCCUUUGCAACAUAAUGAGACCUCUU
ensembl:misc_RNA Metazoa_SRP Metazoan signal recognition particle RNA